rnacentral:tRNA from 3 species
GCGGGCGUGGCGGAAUGGCAGACGCGCCAGACUUAGGAUCUGGUGUCGAAAGGCGUAAGAGUUCGAGUCUCUUCGUCCGCA